rnacentral:pre_miRNA from 1 species
UUCACCGUUCCGUACUUCUUUGCAGCCCCAUACUUGCCCGCAUGAAGUGGUUAUGGAAUGUAAAGAAGUAUGUAAUGGUCGA